UGGUGGAGUGAUUUGUCUGGUUAAUUCCGAUAACGAGCGAGACCUCAGCCUGCUAAUUAGAAAAUCAAAUCCUUGGAUUUGUAUUAGCUUCUUAGAGGGACUAUCGGUGUCCAGCCGAUGGAGGUUUGAGGCAAUAACA
rnacentral:rRNA from 1 species